rnacentral:rRNA from 1 species
AUGGAUCCGGCGGGUCUGCUACCCGGCGACGUGCUCGCGGACGUCCUCCGGCGCCUGAUGCCGCGCAGCCUCGCCGCCUGCCGCUCCGUCUGCAAGGAGUGGUGCGCCGCCGUCGACGCCCACGGCCUGCUGCGCAAGGACCUCCUGCCGCUCUCCCUGGCCGGCAUCUUCGCCGUCUACAACUUCGUUGACGGCUAUCACCUUCCCCCGGCGUUCCUCUCGCGCCCCUCUGUCGCGGGCAAGAUCCAAGGUAACCUCAGCUACCUCGACGACGUCCACGAUGAGUGGUCCCACAUUAUGGGUCACUGCAACGGCCUCCUCCUCCUCUGGGGAGGCGUGGCCAAUCCGGCCACGCGGCAGUGGGCGUGUUUACCGCGUCAUCCUGAUCGGACAGCGACCAAAGGCUUCAUCAAACGCGACUUCCUCGCGUACGAUCCUAUGGUCUCGCCACACUUUGAGGUGUUCUUCAUGCAGUGUGUUCGCCGUCGGUCCAAGAACGAGGUCGCAUUGGACCUUGCAAACCCAAACUCAGAGUGGCCCCCAUCGCCCUACACCAUAAGCGCAUUCUCGUCAGAGACAUGGCUGUGGGAGGAGAGAUCUUUUAUUAGAGAAGGGAUGGCUCCACGGUCCAUCGACCCCAAGCUACUACCACUCAUGAAAAACGUGUUGUUCCCUCGUGAUGCUGUGUAUUGGCGGGGCCGGCUCUAUGUGUACAACAUAUUUUUUGUUAUCAGAUUGGAUUUAGGGGAUAAUAAGUACCGAGUAAUUGAACUCCCCCCGAUUAGUGAAGCACGCGGAGAUAUUAUGCCUCAUUUGGGAAAAUCCGGGAAUGGCGUUUACUAUGGAUUCGUCGGUGAUUGCUGCAAACUUCAGAUUUGGUUUCUUAAUGAAUCAAUUGAUCACACCGAAUGGAUGUUGAAGCAUGAGAUUGGCCUCAAGCCGUUGCUAGAAAAUUUUCCUUGGGAACACAGUCAUGGCUCUUGGUUCGUGCAAGGUUUGAGGGAUAACAAUGAUGAAACACUUGACAGAGAGAAACUGGAAUGGGAUUCAGACAACGAUGAUGCCACUACUGCUUCUGCCACUGAAGUUAGUGUUCAGAAAAAGUUCCAUAAAUACAUUUCAAGGAUACUUGGAUUUCAUCCUUACAAGGAGAUUAUCUUUUUGCACAUAUCGGAUACAAGAGUAGUGGCCUACCAUCUUAAGAACUCCAAGGUUGAGGAUUUGGGGUGCUUACCCGUAGAUGGUGAUGAUUGGAUACAAUCGUCCUGUGUAUACACGCCUUGCUGGAUAGAGAGCUGCUUGAGAGCAAAUAAUGUAGAACCCAAUAGUGAGCUCUAG